CACGUAGGAGGCGAGCGUUGUCCGGAAUCAUUGGGCGUAAAGAGCGCGCAGGCGGCUUGGCAAGUCGGGUGUGAAAUCCCGGGGCUCAACCCCGGGACUGCAUUCGAUACUGUCAGGCUAGAGGUAGGUAGGGGAGAUCGGAAUUCCUGGUGUAGCGGUGAAAUGCGCAGAUAUCAGGAGGAACACCUGAGGUGAAGACGGGUUGCUGGGCCAACACUGACGCUGAGGCGCGAAAGCCAGGGGAGCAAACGGG
rnacentral:rRNA from 1 species